CACCGCGGUUAUACGAGAGGCCCUAGUUGAUAAAUACGGCGUAAAGGGUGGUUAAGGAAAGCAAAAAUAAAGCCGAAGGGCCUCUUGGCCGUCAUACGCUCCUGAGCGUCCGAAGUCCUAACACGAAAGUAGCUUUAACACUAGCCCACCUGACCCCACGAAAACUGAGAAA
rnacentral:rRNA from 1 species